rnacentral:tRNA from 1 species
GGUUGAGUAGUGUAACGGUUCAUCACGAGUCCUUCACACGGACUAGACCCGGGUUCGACUCCCGGCUCGACUA